UUAACAAAACAAGUCCUGGCUUUAUUUAAGGGUGUUUAUAUAAAUGCUUGUUACUGUCAAAGUAACUGAACUUCAGAAACAAAACUGCAAGCUGUUCUGUGGCACUGGCAAAGCAAAGCUCGUUUGUUAAAAGAGGCUGACACAAAUGUUGAUAGAAGCUCCAAAAAACCCUGCACAUGUUAUAUCCACAGGAUAAAUGCAGAAACCUACCUGGACGAAUGAGGAAUGGUAAAUUCCUUGUUUAAACACAUGCCAAAGCAGAUUGAAAGGCACCAGCGGCGACUCCAGUGGCCUUUUUGGGAGCAGAGGGCAUGCUUGUGGUGGACAAAUCAAGAGAAAGCUGAGCAGAGACACUGAAGACUAUGCCUUUGCUCUGUUGGAAAUGCCUACAGAGAAGCAUACUUCUGGAAUCCCACCUGAGCUACCACAUCAGUUAGCAAAUACUCGCAGCUGUCUUCCAACCUGAAGUACUCAACUCAAAGCAAGCAAACUCAAUGAAGUCACUAGCAAAAAAGACUUUUACUGCAAUAAGUGUAAGGAACUUCUGUAUGUGUACUUCAGGUGGUUUUAUUUACAUACAAGUAACCUUGCUCCACCCAUGAACAAGUAUCUGAGUAAAAUGAUUCUAUUUUGGGUCACUGAGUGCGUAUGUAUUAUUUGGAGGGUUAAAAAAAUGAACAUAUGUAUAUAACAAAAUAAAAAGCUUGAUAACUCAUUAACCAGUAAGAAGAUAGAGUUCUGUCUUAAGAGAAGAAUUUAAAAAAUAAUCCUUUUCCAAAUGCAUUUUGUCUAAAAACUGGAGAUGUUCUUGUCUAAACUGAAAGGUGUUAUAUGCUUGGUGCCAUGGGUACAGAGCGCUCGGUACAAACACAAAAGCUGUGAUUAAUAUUUCUUAGCCGUUGUAAAGAGACUCAUUUCCUGCCCCAGAAGUCCUCCUCUCAUCUGGAGUGCCCUCUUAUUUUCUUGUCUAGCACAAUCUAAAAAUUUACACAGGAAGAGGAGGUGAAUUCAUUGCAUGAGAAAAGGAUUUAUAA